UACGUAGGGGGCUAGCGUUGUCCGGAAUCAUUGGGCGUAAAGAGCGUGUAGGCGGCCCGGUAAGUCCGCUGUGAAAGUCGGGGGCUCAACCCUCGAAUGCCGGUGGAUACUGUCGGGCUAGAGUGCGGAAGAGGCGAGUGGAAUUCCUGGUGUAGCGGUGAAAUGCGUAGAGAUCGGGAGGAACACCUGUGGCGAAGGCGGCCGACUGGGCCGACCCUGACGCUGAGGCGGCGAAGG
rnacentral:rRNA from 1 species